GGAUGAACGCUGGCGGCGUGCCUAAUACAUGCAAGUCGAACGCUUCACUUCGGUGAAGAGUGGCGAACGGGUGAGUAAUACAUAAGUAACCUGGCAUCUACAGGGGGAUAACUGAUGGAAACGUCAGCUAAGACCGCAUAGGUGUAGAGAUCGCAUGAACUCUAUAUGAAAAGUGCUACGGGACUGGUAGAUGAUGGACUUAUGGCGCAUUAGCUUGUUGGUAGGGUAACGGCCUACCAAGGCGACGAUGCGUAGCCGACCUGAGAGGGUGACCGGCCACACUGGGACUGAGACACGGCCCAGACUCCUACGGGAGGCAGCAGUAGGGAAUUUUCGGCAAUGGGGGAAACCCUGACCGAGCAACGCCGCGUGAAGGAAGAAGUAAUUCGUUAUGUAAACUUCUGUCAUAGAGGAAGAACGGUGGAUAUAGGGAAUGAUAUCCAAGUGACGGUACUCUAUAAGAAAGCCACGGCUAACUACGUGCCAGCAGCCGCGGUAAUACGUAGGUGGCGAGCGUUAUCCGGAAUUAUUGGGCGUAAAGAGGGAGCAGGCGGCACUAAGGGUCUGUGGUGAAAGAUCGAAGCUUAACUUCGGUAAGCCAUGGAAACCGUAGAGCUAGAGUGUGUGAGAGGAUCGUGGAAUUCCAUGUGUAGCGGUGAAAUGCGUAGAUAUAUGGAGGAACACCAGUGGCGAAGGCGACGAUCUGGCGCAUAACUGACGCUCAGUCCCGAAAGCGUGGGGAGCAAAUAGGAUUAGAUACCCUAGUAGUCCACGCCGUAAACGAUGAGUACUAAGUGUUGGGGGUCAAAGCUCAGUGCUGCAGUUAACGCAAUAAGUACUCCGCCUGAGUAGUACGUUCGCAAGAAUGAAACUCAAAGGAAUUGACGGG
rnacentral:rRNA from 1 species